AUUGAACGCUGGCGGCAGGCCUAACACAUGCAAGUCGAACGAGUGGCGGACGGGUGAGUAAUGUCUGGGAAACUGCCUGAUGGAGGGGGAUAACUACUGGAAACCGUAGCUAAUACCGCAUACCAUCGGAUCAGCCCAGAUGGGAUUAGCUAGUAGGUGGGGUCAAGGCUCACCUAGGCGACGAUCCUUAGCUGGUCUGAGAGGAUGACCAGACACACUGGAACUGCGACACGGUCAAGACUCCUACGGGAGGCAGGAGUGGGGAAUAUUGGACAAGGGGCGCAACCCUGAUGCAGCCAUGCCGCGUGUAUGAUGGAGGCCUUCGAGUUGUAAAGUACUUUCGGCGGAGAGGCGUUAUCUGCAGAAUAAGCACCGGCUAACUCCGGGCCAGCAGCCGCGGUAAUUC
rnacentral:rRNA from 1 species